GGAGGAGGGCUGUAGCUGAGUGGCAGAACAUCUGCCUUGCAUGCAGAAGGUUGCAGGCUCAAUCUCUGGCUCCUCCA